GCUUAGAUAGCUUAACUUUCAGAGCAUAGCACUGAAGAUGCUAGGGUGACAAUUAUUGUCUCAAAGCA
rnacentral:tRNA from 1 species